rnacentral:lncRNA from 1 species
AGGAAACAAUAUCACAGAUAAGGGGGGACUACUGUAUGGCUGGUUAACAUUUUUGGAUGGAACAGAAUCAAAGUGAUUGAAGCAGGAGUGGUGAGCUCAGAUUCUUCACCCAAGACACCCUUUUGCCCCUGACGUCACUCUGAAGACCUGUAGAACUUCUCAGAGAACAACUUCAAAAUCAUUUGCAGUUUCCCUUUCUAGGAGCAAAAUUCUGGUAGCAGGGCAUUACCUCAGCCCACAUUGUCCAAAAGGUAAACUUUCCUCUCCGGACAACAAAGUAGUUUC